rnacentral:lncRNA from 1 species
ACUACAUAAAUGGCCUCAUCCCAUUGUGUGUACAACAGUGUUAGCAUUGACCACUGUAAAUGAAUAGUUCAUCAUAUUUAUAAGUUUUACUUCAGUUAAUUAUAAGAAAAUAUCAAUUGACAUAUAAGGGUUAUUUUUCCUUCCAAUUCUGACAAAGCCAAUGAUCCCAAAGUGUCACAUAUGCCACACACAGGCAGCUUCUCACUCAGUAAUCUGCUACAGAAAAUAAAAGAUUUUAAUGGCUAGUCAUUUCCCCCAGAAAUAUCUUAACAUUAUUAAUAUAUUUCCCUAUAAUAUUUGUAUACCUUAUGAAAUAUCUGAGUAAAGUAAUUUCACUAAAGUAAGAAGUUGUAGGCAAUAUGAAAAAAACAGAAAGAAAACUUUGUUUAGUAGUAACUGGGCCAAAGUGCUGAUAUUGUAACUCUGCAGCCUGAGCCUGAACCACCCUGAGCACAUUCUAUCCCUUACUCCCCCGUGGAGCUCCCAGCAAAGUCAUUACCCCCUCAAGGCCUUGGUGUCUCUCACCUAUGAAAUAUUAUACUGUGCUUUCUCAGAGCACCUAUAGCCCUUAAUGUAUCUGAUUAUCAAUAAUAUUUCAGCGAAAUUCAAACAAUGUCCUUUUUUAGCAGGUACUGAAGAUACAGCCAGCAUUCUGUAAAGGUUGCAUUUAUUAUUAUAGCUGGUAAACAUAUCAACUUAAGUAGGUAAAUGGUAUUCGAUUCAUUUUGUUACAACCCAAUUGUAUGCCGUUUUCACCAAAUGCAGUGUUGGACCGUGAAAGUCAGUCUGGGUUCUGGUUGAGCAAGGCUUAUUCCAGAGACCCAGUAGAAAAUUCUCAAGGGAUGGAACCGUGAGCUACGCUCCCAGAUGUAGGCUCCUGACACCACGAGGCCUCAACUCCAUAAUCCCGUAGCCAUCAGUCACAUAGGAAAAUGUCCCAAGUUCCUGAUAUUCUGGCUGGACUCCAUCUCCACAGUUACCUGGCAACAGCCAGUUAGGCCUGACCCACUGUAAAAGGGCUGCUUGCCCCUCCUCUCUUGAGCUCUUGCCUCUUUCUUUCCUCUUGUCCCCUUGCUCCCCAUCUCUUUCCCUCCCUUCCCCUCUCUCACCAAGAUGGCAUGGUCAGCCUCUACUUCUCUAUUCUUUUCUCUCUGCCUUUCUACAAUAAAUGCCUUCAAACCAUCGACUGCCUCCUUUCAUCUAGACUCACCAUGCUGGAGCGAUGAAGUAGGCCUUCCCCUAAGGAGCAAAGCGGCAAGAAGGCCUCCCAGCGUUUCCAGCCACUGAGGGGACCAAGGACUCUCACCUGCAAGGGAACCACCCAGCGCCUCCCCCCAACACCUUUUUUCCUUUGAGCCCUGGGCCACUGCCACCCCGGGUGGGGGCGGGGGGUGGGGCACCUGUUCUCAGCUCUUCCACAGUAUCCAGUGAAGUCCUCUGAUGUCCAAGAGCUAGAACCUUUCGUCCCUGGCCUCCAUGAGGCCCAGGGACCCCAGACUGCUCCCUCCCCAUACCCUCUGACUGGGGUCCCUUGGCUUGCACUCCUUGCAGUUGGCGGUGUGGGGGCACUCGCAGUCCAGAGUCCGCCCACCGAGUGCCCCGAGCUCUGUCGAGGUCAUCUCCCCCCUCCCCUUAUUUCCCCAUGUCCUGUCCCCAACAAUGCAGAAUUUACAUAUCUGUAAAUUUACAAGAUUUCUGGCUGCAGCUAAAUUACCUGAAUACUUAGAAGCUGCUGUUUUUAAGCUGACAGGCCUGAUCCCUAGGUUCCCCAUUCUUUUUCUCAUCAUCUGUUGCAUACAAGCUCUUGGGUUUGUUUUUCUUAGUUCCUUAAAUUAAGUACGUCUCUUCUUACCCAUUUAGUUCUUGGAGGCCAGGGCAUUGAUCAAUGACAGCCUGGGCAACUGUGUGUGUGUGUCUGUAUUUACAACUCUGUCUACAGUUAUAAGAUUCUAGGUUAUCCUCAGCCUUGAAGUUGGUGGCAGAGUUCUUACCAGCUGCUGUAGACUGCCCAUCUGCUUCCCUAAAGUGCUCACAUUCUGGCUGGUGGGAGGGCCACCAGAACCACACCCAUGUGGACUCGGAAGAUUCAUGUAAAGAAAUACAGACGUUGCCUAACUAGCUGGCAUCAGUUAGAGGAGCUAGUGAGAGAACAUAACACCUGAAUUGGAUGUUCUUAGCGUUGAUGAGAGGAGUCUGGGCUCUUCUUGACUUGAGUGAGUGCUGACAAGAAAGAGGGUGAUGAGCUGGAAAUGAACAGUGUGCCUGAAAGAGUAGAAGCUCGGUGUGGCUAGUCUAUCUGUGUAAUUCAGAGCAUAAAAACUGAGGAGACACUGUUUCAGGUUCCUGCAACCAAGUGAAGGGAGCCUUAGGCUCCAUGAGGCUCCAUGUUUGCAAGCUCACAUUUAACUCUCUAAGCCAUGAGAGUUUUAAGGAAGGAAACCUCGGGUUUGGUCUCAUCUGUUUUGUGCUCCUGUUCUACAGUUUUUUAAAGAUGAAAAUGCUGUCAUUAGUAGUCUACAUAGAAGAUAGUUUGAGCAUCUUAUGCUGUGUUGUUUGUGAAUUAUACAAUAGCUUGUAUUUCCUAGAACCAAAAUAAAAAAUAAAAAU